rnacentral:rRNA from 1 species
ACACAUGCAAGUCGAGGGGCAGCAUAAUGGAUAGCAAUAUCUAUGGUGGCGACCGGCGCACGGGUGCGUAACGCGUAUGCAACCUACCUUUAACAGGGGGAUAACACUGAGAAAUUGGUACUAAUACCCCAUAAUAUCAUAGAAGGCAUCUUUUAUGGUUGAAAAUUCCGAUGGUUAGAGAUGGGCAUGCGUUGUAUUAGCUAGUUGGUGGGGUAACGGCUCACCAAGGCGACGAUACAUAGGGGGACUGAGAGGUUAACCCCCCACACUGGUACUGAGACACGGACCAGACUCCUACGGGAGGCAGCAGUGAGGAAUAUUGGUCAAUGGACGCAAGUCUGAACCAGCCAUGCCGCGUGCAGGAUGACGGCUCUAUGAGUUGUAAACUGCUUUUGUACGAGGGUAAACGCAGAUACGUGUAUCUGUCUGAAAGUAUCGUACGAAUAAGGAUCGGCUAACUCCGUGCCAGCAGCCGCGGUAAUACGGAGGAUUCAAGCGUUAUCCGGAUUUAUUGGGUUUAAAGGGUGCGUAGGCGGUUUGAUAAGUUAGAGGUGAAAUUUCGGGGCUCAACCCUGAACGUGCCUCUAAUACUGUUGAGCUAGAGAGUAGUUGCGGUAGGCAGAAUGUAUGGUGUAGCGGUGAAAUGCUUAGAGAUCAUACAGAACACCGAUUGCGAAGGCAGCUUACCAAACUAUAUCUGACGUUGAGGCACGAAAGCGUGGGGAGCAAACAGGAUUAGAUACCCUGGUAGUCCACGCAGUAAACGAUGAUAACUCGUUGUCGGCGAUACACAGUCGGUGACUAAGCGAAAGCGAUAAGUUAUCCACCUGGGGAGUACGUUCGCAAGAAUGAAACUCAAAGG